ACCGGAUGAAACCAGUCUUAUGGAGGAACUAUGGAAGAACACAGAGAGUCUCAGCCAGUGCGACAGAGCAACUAAGCCUUGGGCACUGGGCUGAAGCAAAACAAUAGAUGUGAGCCUCUCUUGGCCUGAGUUUCCAGUUUUUAAAUGAAACUAGGGGUUCAGGCUGGGCUCUGGGUGUCCGGGACAGAAGAGAGCUUUCUGUGAGGCAGGAAUCCAACAUACCCUCCAAAGGGUCUGACUUUCAGAGGUCUGGCUGAAUUUCUCAGGCUGACAGAGGGGGGUUAAGCAUCACAGGGCUGGGUGAUCUCAAAUGCUAUGAUCGAAUUCUAUGUUUCUUUCCCAGAACAAAACAAUGGGACGAACUAUUAACUUCCCUUUUCUGUCUUCCUUUCCAGCCUGUUGAUCUGUGAUCAUGGUAGUGAUUCUCAGUUUCUACUAACGAAUAGUGAACACUCUGCUCCAACUGAGCGUUUCUGCCCCUCACCCACAGCUGGGAAUUCUAAGGCAGGAGACAUCUCUGUUUUUGCAAGCACUCACAUGAUUGCCAGCCAUUGAUUGAGAACUUCACUUUUGAGAAAUCCUGUCAAGGUUUGACAUUGUAACCUCGGGAUGAGGGUUGCCUGGAAUCUUUGGAAAUCUGGUUCACACUGGAAUGAGUCUUGGUUACUGUGCUAAGUGCCUGCAGUGACUUUGGGCCUGAAUGGGGUGGUUCUGAGCCUCCCUCUUCACUUAAACUCCAGUCCUGUGGUCAGGAUGCUGGCUCUCAUCCAAGUCUGUCCUGAACAGGUAGAAAUGAGAGAAUAGGGAAAAAAAAACUAUUUCUACAAGGAAAGCAUAAAACACUAUCGUGAAAAUGGAGACGGGAUAUAAACAGACAAGACAUCCAACCAAGUUGGUGAUGAAUGAGUGUUCUGAGGACAGGGGCAUGAAAAUGAAUAAAUGAGUAACAUAUUAUGUUCAAAGUGGUGCACAUUAAAAAAGCUUAUAGUGGGGCUGAGCAGUGACUCAGCAGUUAAGGGUCUAUUCACUGCUCUUGCAAUAGGAUGCACUUUGUUUCCCAACACCCACAUUGGACAGCUCACAGCCAACUGUAGCCCCAGCUCUAUGGGGAUCUGAGUCCUCCAGCCUCCACAGGCACCUGCACCCACAUGUCCACACCCACACAUUACAUUUAAUUAAAAUAAUAAAAUAAAAAAUUGAAAAAGUGUGAUAGUAUUAGGUGAUGGAUAGAGAAGCUGGAAAUGUAUUGAAUCUGUAGGUGUAAGCUGCCUGAAACAGUUCUUGUUGUAAGUAGAUAGUGUUUGUCUUCUAGGUGUGUCCUUGUCUCACAGUGCUAACCACAAAAUUUCACUACCCAGGGUCAACCUUAGAAACAAUUGGAUGUAAACAAAACCAAGUAUCUUCAAGAAUGAUUUUAAAGAAGAAAAACAGAAUUUCUCUUAUGUCCCUGAGGGAACAAAUAUCU
rnacentral:lncRNA from 1 species